rnacentral:tRNA from 1 species
AAGAAAUUAGUUAAAUUUAUAACAUUAAUAUGUCAUAUUAAAAUUAUUACCAUAGUAAUAUUUCUUA